AAUUACUUAAGUGGUUCCUCUUAUAUUUAAGCGAAGCUCGCCCGCCCUCAUCGCAUUCAGCGAGUCGAUUGCAAUAUUUUUGCGAAAUGUCUCGUAAACUCUUAACAUCGUUUCUGUUGUUGGGAACACUGAAUUUUAUGUUGGUUGCCGUUGCAGCUGUUGUAGGUGGAUCAUCGCAGUCUCCUACACAGAGCGAAGUGGACAGUUCAAUCGAAAAUGCUUUCAAUGAGGUACUGAACAAAGGUUCGGAAUACUUGUCGGGUCUGAUAAACAGUGGAUCGAGUUAGCCUGGGAGCCAUUUAAUUGGAGCCAGUUCUACCAAGUUAUUAUCAUAAAAAAACAUAAUAUUAUCUUAGUCAAGUUUAAAUUUUCAAAUUAUAUGUGAAGUUUCGUUUUAAAUAAAACAAAUAAUGCUUGUUAAUUCCUCUUUCUAUUAUCUAUAAAAGUUCAUCGCUAGCUUUAAAUUGUAAAAUAAUGACGAGGUAAGUGGUAACCGCUCCCAGCAUCUGGAAAAUGUAAAAACGUCAUAACUUAUACAGCUGCGUUAUCAAUCGGCAUUAGGGAAUCGCGUGUUUAACAUUGUAUAAACUUAAGCGAGUGAUAAAAUUAAACAGUAAUGUAUUAG